rnacentral:lncRNA from 1 species
GGGAACCCAGGAUUUCCAGGUUUUGGGACCACCAGGCAAGAAGGGUAUGAGGGGAGAUAUCGGACCAACAGGGGCCCUGGGACCACAAGGAGACAAAGGAAUACAAGGAGACAAAGGAGAGAAGGUAAUGCACUUGCUCUUCUCAGCACAUGCUUUGUGGGUGGAAGGAUUUUAUUCACCACUUGCCUUCCUGUGUCAGACACUCCUGUGCUCUAAGCCCAGGGGAAACCUGUGCUCACAUGGAGAAGUCAAAAGCUGCUUGCAAAGAAGUCAGUGA